AUACGUAGGGUGCGAGCGUUGUCCGGAAUUACUGGGCGUAAAGAGCUCGUAGGUGGUUUGUCGCGUCGUCUGUGAAAUUCCGGGGCUUAACUCCGGGCGUGCAGGCGAUACGGGCAUAACUUGAGUACUGUAGGGGAGACUGGAAUUCCUGGUGUAGCGGUGAAAUGCGCAGAUAUCAGGAGGAACACCGGUGGCGAAGGCGGGUCUCGGGGCAGUAACUGACGCUGAGGAGCGAAAGCAUGGGUAGCGAACAGGAUUAGAUACCCUGGUAGUCCAUGCCGUAAACGGUGGGCGCUAGGUGUAGGGGUCUUCCACGACUUCUGUGCCGUAGCUAACGCCUUAAGCGCCCCGCCUGGGGAGUACGGCCGCAAGGCUAAAACUCAAAUGAAUUGACGGGG
rnacentral:rRNA from 1 species